rnacentral:rRNA from 1 species
AUUGAACGCUGGCGGCAGGCCUAACACAUGCAAGUCGAACGAGUGGCGGACGGGUGAGUAAUGUCUGGGCCACUGCCUGAUGGAGGGGGUUAACUACUGGAAACGGUAGCUAAUAACGCAUACCAUCGGAUGUGCCCAGAUGGGAUUAGAUAGUGGGUGGGGUAAAGGCUCACCUAGGCGACGAUCCCUAGCUGGUCUGAGAGGAUGACCAGCCACACUGGAACUGAGACACGGUCCAGACUCCUACGGGAGGCAGCAGUGGGGAAUAUUGCACAAUGGGCGCAAGCCUGAUGCAGCCAUGCCGCGUGUGUGAAGAAGGCCUUCGGAUUGUAAAGUACUUUCAGCGGGGAGGCGUUACCCGCAGAAGAAGCACCGGCUAACUCCGUGCCAGCAGCCGCGGUAAUUC